UAGGGAAUCUUCGGCAAUGGACGGAAGUCUGACCGAGCAACGCCGCGUGAGUGAAGAAGGUUUUCGGAUCGUAAAGCUCUGUUGUAAGAGAAGAACGAGUGUGAGAGUGGAAAGUUCACACUGUGACGGUAUCUUACCAGAAAGGGACGGCUAACUACGUGCCAGCAGCCGCGGUAAUACGUAGGUCCCGAGCGUUGUCCGGAUUUAUUGGGCGUAAAGCGAGCGCAGGCGGUUAGAUAAGUCUGAAGUUAAAGGCUGUGGCUUAACCAUAGUAGGCUUUGGAAACUGUUUAACUUGAGUGCAAGAGGGGAGAGUGGAAUUCCAUGUGUAGCGGUGAAAUGCGUAGAUAUAUGGAGGAACACCGGUGGCGAAAGCGGCUCUCUGGCUUGUAACUGACGCUGAGGCUCGAAAGCGUGGGGAGCAAACAGGAUUAGAUACCCUGGUAGUCCACGCUGUAAACGAUGAGUGCUAGGUGUUAGACCCUUUCCGGGGUUUAGUGCCGUAGUUAACGCAUUAAGCACUCCGCCUGGGGAGUACGACCGCAAGGUUG
rnacentral:rRNA from 1 species